rnacentral:rRNA from 1 species
GACGAACGCUGGCGGCGUGCUUAACACAUGCAAGUCGAACGGAGUGGCGAACGGGUGAGUAACACGUGGGUGACCUGCCCUGCACUUCGGGAUAAGCCUGGGAAACUGGGUCUAAUACCGGAUAGUGUGGGAUGGGCGCGAGGCCUAUCAGCUUGGUGGUGGGGUAAUGGCCUACCAAGGCGGCGCCGGGUAGCCGGCCUGAGAGGGUGGACGGCCACAUUGGGACUGGGACACGGCCCAGACUCCUACGGGAGGCAGCAGUGGGGAAUAUUGCGCAGUGGUCGGAAGUCUUAGGCAGAGACGCCGCGUGGGGGAUGACGGCCUUCGGGUUGGAAACUCCUUUCACCAUAGACGCGGUAGAUGGAGAAGAAGCACCGGCUAACUACGUGCCAGCAGCCGCGGUAAUUC